rnacentral:misc_RNA from 1 species
AACACUGUUAACCUGCGGUACCUGCGGAAGGAUCAUUACAGAGUUGCAAAACUCCCUAAACCAUUGUGAACGUUACCUAAACCGUUGCUUCGGCGGGCGGCCCGGGUCCUUCCCGGCGCCCAUCGGCCCUCGCGGGCGCCCGCCGGAGGUAAACCAAACUAUUGCAUUGUAUGUCCUCUCUGAGUCUUCUGUACUGAAUAAGUCAAAACUUUUAACAAUGGAUCUCAGAUCGGAAGAGCA